CGAAGGUAGCAUAAUCAGUAGUCUUUUAAUUGAAGGCUGGUAUGAAUGGUUGGAUGAAAUAUUAACUGUUUCAUUUAAAUUUUUUUUAGAAUUUUAUUUUUUAGUUAAAAAGCUAAAAUGUUGUUAAAAGACGAGAAGACCCUAUAAAUCUUUAUAUUUUAGGUGUAUUAAUUAUAUUGAUUUAUUUAAUUAUUAUAAUUAAAAGUAUUUUAUUGGGGUGAUAUUAAAAUUUAAAAAACUUUUAAUUUAAAAUUUACAUAAAUUAAUGAAUAAAUGAUCCAUUAUUAAUGAUUAACAAUUUAAGUUACUUUAGGGAUAACAGCGUAAUUUUUUUGGAGAGUUCAUAUUGAUAAAAAAGAUUGCGACCUCGAUGUUGGAUUAA
rnacentral:rRNA from 1 species